GAUGAACGCUAGCGGGAGGCCUAACACAUGCAAGCCGAGCGGUAUUGUUUCUUCGGAAAUGAGAGAGCGGCGUACGGGUGCGUAACACGUGUGCAACCUGCCUUUAUCUGGGGGAUAGCCUUUCGAAAGGAAGAUUAAUACUCCAUAAUAUAUUGAACGGCAUCGUUUAAUAUCGAAAGCUCCGGCGGAUAGAGAUGGGCACGCGCAAGAUUAGCUAGUUGGUGAGGUAACGGCUCACCAAGGCGAUGAUCUUUAGGGGGCCUGAGAGGGUGAUCCCCCACACUGGUACUGAGACACGGACCAGACUCCUACGGGAGGCAGCAGUGAGGAAUAUUGGUCAAUGGGUGCAAGCCUGAACCAGCCAUCCCGCGUGAAGGACGACUGCCCUAUGGGUUGUAAACUUCUUUUGUAUAGGGAUAAACCUACCCUCGGGAGGGUAGCUGAAGGUACUAUACGAAUAAGCACCGGCUAACUCCGUG
rnacentral:rRNA from 1 species